rnacentral:tRNA from 1 species
GCUGUGGUUGGCUCAGUGGUAGAGCGCUUGCCUAGCAUGUGUGAGGCACUGGGUUUGAUUCUCAGCACUGCU